GCCCGGAUGGUCUAGUUGGUAUGAUUCCUCGUUUGGGUGGUAGCUUUUAACCCCUCAUAAAGGGGGUCUUUUGUGCACUGCAUCGCAUAUCGAGGAGGUCCUGCGUUCAAAUCGCGGUUCGGGCC